rnacentral:misc_RNA from 1 species
GAUGAAGAACGUAGCGAAAUGCGAUAAGUAAUGUGAAUUGCAAAUUCAGUGAAUCAUCGAGUCUUUGAACGCACAUUGCGCCCCCUGGUAUUCCGGGGGGCAUGCCUGUCCGAGCGUCAUUGCUGCCCUCAAGCCCGGCUUGUGUGUUGGGCCCCGUCCCCCGAUCUCCGGGGGACGGGCCCGAAAGGCAGCGGCGGCACCGCGUCCGGUCCUCGAGCGUAUGGGGCUUUGUCACCCGCUCUGUAGGCCCGGCCGGCGCUUGCCGAUCAACCCAAAUUUUUAUCCAGGUUGACCUCGGAUCAGGUAGGGAUACCCGCUGAACUUAAGCAUAUCAAUAAGCGGAGGA